rnacentral:tRNA from 1 species
GCAGCUCCGUGGCAGAGCACCUGCUCUGCAUGCAGAAGGUCCCAGGUUCAAGCCAUGGUCCG